rnacentral:rRNA from 1 species
AUUGAACGCUGGCGGCAUGCUUUACACAUGCAAGUCGAACGUUAACAGGCCUUCGGGUUCUGCCGAUUGGCGCACGGGUGAGUAAUGCAUCGGAACGUGCCCAGAGGUGGGGGAUAACGCAGCGAAAGCUGUUCUAAUACCGCAUGUGAUCUGAGGAUGAAAGCGGGGGACCCGGCAGCAAUGUUUGGCCUCGCGCCUUUGGAGCGGCCGAUGUCAGAUUAGUUAGUUGGUGGGGUAAAGGCCUACCAAGCCGACGAUCUGUAGCUGGUCUGAGAGGACGACCAGCCACACUGGGACUGAGACACGGCCCAGACUCCUACGGGAGGCAGCAGUGGGGAAUUUUGGACAAUGGGCGCAAGCCUGAUACAGCAAUGCCGCGUGAGGGAAGAAGGCCUUCGGGUUGUAAAACGCUUUUGUAAGGAACGAAAAGGCUCUGGCUAAUACCUGGGGCUGAUGACGGUACCGUAAGAAUAAGCACCGGCUAACUACGUG